AGUGAACGCUGGCGGCAGGCCUAACACAUGCAAGUCGAACGAGUGGCGGACGGGUGAGUAAUGUCUGGGAAACUGCCUGAGGGAGGGGGAUAACUACUGGAAACGGUAGCUAAUACCGCAUACCAUCGGAUGUGCCCAGAUGGGAUUAGCUAGUAGGUUGGGUAACGGCUCACCUAGGCGACGAUCCCUAGCUGGGCUGAGAGGAUGAUCAGUCACAUUGGAACUGAGACACGGUCCAGACUCCUACGGGAGGCAGCAGUGGGGAAUAUUGGACAAUGGGCGAAAGCCUGAUCCAGCCAUGCCGCGUGUGUGAAGAAGGUCUUCGGAUUGUAAAGCACUUUAAGUUGGGAAGCGUUACCAACCGAAUAAGCACCGGCUAACUUCGUGCCAGCAGCCGCGGUAAUAC
rnacentral:rRNA from 1 species